rnacentral:rRNA from 1 species
AGUGAACGCUGGCGGUAGGCCUAACACAUGCAAGUCGAACGGCAGCACAGUAAGAGCUUGCUCUUACGGGUGGCGAGUGGCGGACGGGUGAGGAAUACAUCGGAAUCUACUUUUUCGUGGGGGAUAACGUAGGGAAACUUACGCUAAUACCGCAUACGACCUACGGGUGAAAGCAGGGGAUCUUCGGACCUUGCGCGAUUGAAUGAGCCGGUGUCGGAUUAGCUAGUUGGCGGGGUAAAGGCCCACCAAGGCGACGAUCCGUAGCUGGCCUGAGAGGAUGAUCAGACACACUGGAACUGAGACACGGUCCAGACUCCUACGGGGGGCAGCAGUGGGGAAUAUUGGACAAUGGGCGCAAGCCUGAUCCAGCCAUACCGCGUGGGUGAAGAAGGCCUUCGGGUUGUAAAGCCCUUUUGUUGGGAAAGAAAAGCAGCAGGUUAAUACCCCGCUGUUCUGACGGUACCCAAAGAAUAAGCACCGGCUAACUUCGUG